rnacentral:lncRNA from 1 species
GCUCCUUGGGCAUGUAACUUCUUUACAGUUCUGGAUAGAAAUCGUUCAUGCCUCGAUCUAACUAUCAUGUAGUCUUCCUCCGUAAACUCUUGGGCAUGUCAAUGAGAAUCUACAUUUUGUUUAUAAACGUUAUUGUUAAUGCUAAUUUUUUUUACGGAUCUCUUUAUGCAGACUCUUGACAUGUUGUGCGAAUAACUCUGUAGAUUCAAAAAUUCUAGCAUACAUGGACAGUG